rnacentral:rRNA from 1 species
GACGAACGCUGGCGGCGUGCUUAACACAUGCAAGUCGAGCGGUAAGGCCCUUUCGGGGGUACACGAGCGGCGAACGGGUGAGCAACACGUGGGUGACCUGCCCUCAGCUCUGGGAUAAGCCUGGGAAACCGGGUCUAAUACUGGAUAUGACUCCAUGACGCAUGUUGUGGGGUGGAAAGCCUUGUGCGGCUGAGGAUGGGCCCGCGGCCUAUCAGCUUGUUGGUGGGGUGAUGGCCUACCAAGGCGACGACGGGUAGCCGGCCUGAGAGGGCGACCGGCCACACUGGGACUGAGACACGGCCCAGACUCCUACGGGAGGCAGCAGUGGGGAAUCUUGCGCAAUGGGCGAAAGCCUGACGCAGCGACGCCGCGUGAGGGAUGACGGCCU